UCAAGAGGAUCCACAAAGGGGCUGGAAACACUCACAUCAUGAGGAAUGGGUGAGUUUUGAGAACAAUUGGCUUGAGUGGCAUCUACUCCUCACGCACCCACUUCUUUAUGGUUUUCAAGGAGCAGCUGACACCAUCAGCCCAUCACACAACAGCUCAGAUAACACGAGUGGUGAGCAGGAGAAUCCUCAGUUGUGGGGCUGGGUGCAGAGGGUCCUGUUUGUCAGGGUCAGACUAGUGUGCUGGUUGGGCAUCCAGGAUCUGGGGGAUGACUUUGUCUGCUGCGACCUCUGUGACAUCUUUGUCCACAUUUCCUAGACUCCCACCCCCAAGACUACACAGUGGGGAAUCUCAUCCACAUGGGCAUGGCUCUGCUGGUCCUGGUGGUCCUCGGAGUCCUGCUGUUUCAGGCUCAAGACAGUGAGAGAAUGGCCCAGGCUGCUGCCAAGACCUGAACACAGAGCUAAAGGAGCACUGGUCAGACUGCCUUGAUGUUCAUAUGAAGUGCCCAUCCACUCAGUUCACAGCAUGCAUUCUAUUUUAAUGAAUCCAUGAGCUGGCAUCACAAACAUUUAGCCCACAGAGAUAAAUCUCAAAUGAUGCCCUAGCACCCUCUCUGGACCCCGCGUGCCUUCACCUUUCCUCAGAUGGCACCUGUGGACUUUCCCUAGGAACCUCCUCACUCUGAGUCAAGGCUAUUGUAUCCUUGGAAGGAAAGAUAUUUGCAUUGCUUUUUUUGGAGAGGUAGAAGAGAGAGAGACAUAUAUGGAUGUGAGAGGAAUGUGAAUGUUAGAAAUGAACAUUGAUUCAUUGCUUCCCAUAUGUGCCUGGAUAGGGGAUGGAAAUUGCAAUCUAGGUAUGUGCCCUGACUGGGAAUGGAAACCACAAACUUCUGGUUAUGGGACGAUGCUCCAACCAACUCAACCACACCAGCCUGGGGUAAAUCAAACCAUUUUUAUUUGAAGGGAUCAGCUGAGUUGCACUGCUUGAGAACAACCCAUUGUUAAAAACAUAGUGAAGUGUACAGAUAAUGUGUUAGAGAAUUGUACAUUGAAACCUAUAUAAUUUUAUUACUGAUUAACUGAAUUCCACUUAAUAAAACACUGGUUUUUUGGCAUUUU